CCUACGGGUGGCAGCAGUGAGGAAUAUUGGUCAAUGGGCGCGAGCCUGAACCAGCCAAGUAGCGUGAAGGAUGACUGCCCUACGGGUUGUAAACUUCUUUUAUAAAGGAAUAAGGUGUGGCACGUGCUCCUUUUUGUAUGUACUUUAUGAAUAAGGAUCGGCUCACACCGUGCCAGCAGCCGCGGUCAUACGGAGGAUUCGCGCGUUAUCCGGAUUUAGUGGGUUUAAAGGGAGCGUAGAAGGGUUGGUAAGUCAGUUGUGAAAGUUUGCGGCUAAACCGUAAAAUUGCAAUGGAUACUGGCAGCCUUGAGUACAGUUGAGGUAGGCGGAAUUCGUGGUGUAGCGGUGAAAUGCUUAGAUAUCACGAAGAACUCCGAUUGCGAAGGCAGCCUACUAAACUGCCACUGACAUUGAUGCUCGAAAGUGUGGGUAGCAAACAGGAUUAGAUACCCGAGUAGUC
rnacentral:rRNA from 1 species